UCUGAAAAUGGGUAAGUUGAUUCUCCACGUUUGGUAGAAGUGAUCCAAAAAUUUGCCUACCUAACUGAUUUGCCUUGCAAUUGAGUUUUGCACGCAAAGUUGGACCAAAACUAGCGCUGCAAUCCUAUUUCCACGGUGGUAUUCGACCGAUAACUGGGUAAAUGAAAACUAUGAAAAUGGAUGCUCCCAAAACUACCCUUGCUUAACCUACUAGCGCCAAAGUGAGUAACCUCCCACCAAAUCCUCCCGCCAAAGGACAUAACGGAGAAGCUCGUUUGAAGAUCUACACAAAGGCUGACUAGAUUGGGUUUCACAGCAACUUCUGUUUGCAACAUCAAUCUGACAAGCGCGGGUAGUGGAACCAGAACACUGCCGUGAACAGAGGCAAGGCUGAACAGAGGCAAGCGCGGGUAGUGUUGUUGUCCAUCGUUCGUGGUACACACCCUCAUUGGGUACUAGCCGAUUGAUUUACCUUGUCGAAUUGCAAAAGGUUGUAAAUACUGCAAAAGGGAUGAUGCUUUAUCUUGUCUUGUUCGAUUUGGGCUUGAUUGUUUUAUCUACCAAACUUGGUAUUGACCUUAAUAAUAUGAUACUAGUGUUUCAGCUUUUUUAUUUGAAUUGAAUUCUAUGUAUUUGCUGUUUUCAUCAGUUUAUAUGUACUAGGAGAUUAGAUGGCAGC